CACGUACUGUGCGAACGUUAUUCGGAAUCACUGGGCUUAAAGGGUGCGUAGGCGGCAAUCCAAGUCAGAUGUGAAAUGCCUGAGCUUAACUGAGGCACUGCGUUUGAAACUGGACUGCUAGAGUAUUUCAGGGGUGUGCGGAACUGCCAGUGGAGCGGUGAAAUGUGUUGAUAUUGGCAGGAACACCGGAGGCGAAAGCGGCACACUGGGGAAUAACUGACGCUGAGGCACGAAAGCCAGGGGAGCGAACGGG
rnacentral:rRNA from 1 species